UCAUUGCACACACAUUUGCGAAACCAACCCCUUUGCGAUUUACCACUGUCCCACCCCCCAACUGGCUCCGGCCAGCCCGAGUCUCCUGACUCUGACCGAACACGGCGAGGGGCCCUAACCCGUGUUUGGUUGGAUGUGGGGACUCGGUGUUUUGGGAAACUCCAUGUACAAACAUUGGAUGGCGCAAUGCAUCAACACUUCAAAAUUUGACUGAKUAUGAUACCAAGGAGAACGACCGUGGUUUGAGGGUCACCACUCACCCACAGCCAUUCCCCCCACUCCUACCCGGAUCUCCGGCGUGGAGUGGAGUGGGAGUGGAGUGAGUGCGUGGUGCCCCCCCGGCCCCCGGGAGUUCGAGUUGUGUUUAAGUGAUAAACAAAAACAACUCUCAGCAACGGAUAUCUUGGCUCUGCAACGAUGAAGAACGCAGCGAAAUGCGAUACGUAGUGUGAAUUGCAGAAUUCCGCGAAUCAUCGAGUCUUUGAACGCAAGUUGCGCCCGAGACGAAAGUGUCGGGCAUUCCUGGCAGAGCGUCACCGCGCCACCCACCGACCCCCCACUCCGCAUGGAGUGCGGGCCGAGUGGAACUGGCCGUCCCAGUGAGAGAACCGCCGCUGCUGCUCCUUCGCGAGUGGUGGCGGUGGUGACUGGGUACGGCUGAAAUGGAGGGAAUUCUUGGCCCCGCCGCGGCGACACAGCCCGCGAUCCAGGUGAUCCCGGCCCCCCGCAAGGGGAAAAGGGAAAGUGUUGGUUGGCUGUGUUGUCCCCCCAGGAGUUGGAUUCCGAAGCAGGCAGGCCC
rnacentral:rRNA from 1 species